GGGGGUACCAAUGGGAGCGUAGAGCAUGUGCAUGAGCCGCCUCCAUCUAACACGGAGAGUGGUGACGACGUGUGCGGCUCUUUGGAGGAGUGGCUCCAUGCAUUGCCAACAAUCGAGGAGUUAGAGUUGCCCCCACAGAUGCAAGUCAUAUUUAACAAGCACAAAGAGCUCCAUGCCAGAGAACUUAAUGUUGCAUUCAGCUCACUUGGGAGGGUCUUGCAAGGCAUGUACUGCAAGCGAAUGGGCCUAAUUUUGUCUGAGGCACACAAAGCUGAGUGCAGCAUUCAUGGACAGAGAGCCGAAGGUGAAGGCAUCACUUUCAGUGUACCAGGGGGUCUUCUACUACAGGCAUGUCUGAUGGGACUGCAACUGAACCUUUUGCGCAACAGCCCAAGCAUCCGGAGCAGCCCAACAUUCAUCAUGUCACUGUACCACCUCCGCAACAGCCCAAGCAACCAACCACUGCCACUGUACCAUCUCCGCAACAGCCCAAGCAACCAGCCACUGCCACUCUACCAUCUCCGCAAC
rnacentral:rRNA from 1 species